rnacentral:rRNA from 1 species
UACGGGGGGGGCAAGCGUUGUUCGGAAUUACUGGGCGUAAAGGGCGCGUAGGCGGUGCCUCAAGUCAGGCGUGAAAGCCCCGGGCUCAACCUGGGAACCGCGCUUGAGACUGGAGUACUAGAGUUCGGGAGAGGAUGGUGGAAUUCCCAGUGUAGAGGUGAAAUUCGUAGAUAUUGGGAAGAACACCGAUGGCGAAGGCAGCCCCCUGGGCUAACACUGACGCUCAUGCACGAAAGCGUGGGGAGCAAACAGG